rnacentral:rRNA from 1 species
UACGUAGGGUGGCAAGCGUUAAUCGGAAUUACUGGGCGUAAAGCGUGCGCAGGCGGUUUUGUAAGUUUGUCGUGAAAUCCCCGGGCUCAACCUGGGAAUGGCGAUGAAGACUGCAAGGCUAGAGUUUGGCAGAGGGGGGUAGAAUUCCACGUGUAGCAGUGGAAAAUGCGUAGAUAUGUGGAGGAACACCGAUGGCGAAGGCAGCCCCCUGGGUCAAAACUGACGCUCAUGCACGAAAGCGUGGGGAGCAAACAGG